AUUGAACGCUGGCGGAAUGCUUUACACAUGCAAGUCGAACGGCAGCACGGACUUCGGUCUGGUGGCGAGUGGCGAACGGGUGAGUAAUGUAUCGGAACGUGCCCAGUCGUGGGGGAUAACGUAGUGAAAAUUACGCUAAUACCGCAUACGAUCUAUGGAUGAAAGCGGGGGAUCGCAAGACCUCGCGCGAUUGGAGCGGCCGAUAUCAGAUUAGGUAGUUGGUGGGGUAAAGGCCCACCAAGACAACGAUCUGUAGCUGGUCUGAGAGGACGACCAGCCACACUGGAACUGAGACACGGUCCAGACCCCUACGGGAGGCAGCAGUGGGGAAUUUUGGACAAUGGGCGAAAGCCUGAUCCAGCCAUUCCGCGUGCAGGAUGAAGGCCCUCGGGUUGUAAACUGCUUUUGUACAGAACGAAAAGGUUUCUACUAAUACUAGGAGCUCAUGACGGUACUGUAAGAAUAAGCACCGGCUAACUACGUGCCAGCCGCCGCAGUAA
rnacentral:rRNA from 1 species